rnacentral:rRNA from 1 species
GACGAACGCUGGCGGCGUGCUUAACACAUGCAAGUCGAACGGAAAGGCCUGCUUUCCCUUGUGGAUUGCGGGUACUCGAGUGGCGAACGGGUGAGUAACACGUGAGUGAUCUGCCCCCAACUUGGGUAUAAGCCUGGGAAACUGGGUCUAAUUCCCGAUAGGACUGCAGGGUGGUGCCUGUGGUGGAAAACGAUUUUCUGGUGGUUGGGGAUGAGCUCGCGGCCUAUCAGCUUGUUGGUGGGGUAAUGGCCUACCAAGGCGGCGACGGGUAGCCGGCCUGAGAGGGUGGACGGCCACAUUGGGACUGAGAUACGGCCCAGACUCCUACGGGAGGCAGCAGUGGGGAAUAUUGCACAAUGGGCGGAAGCCUGAUGCAGCGACGCCGCGUGGGGGAUGACGGCCUUCGGGUGGUAAACUCCUUUCGACCGCGAGGAAGCCACCUGGUUGGAAGGGUGGUGACGGUAGUGGUAGAAGAAGCACCGGCUAACUACGUG